rnacentral:rRNA from 1 species
CCUACGGGUGGCAGCAGUGGGGGAUAUUGCACAAUGGGCGGAACUCUGAUGCAGCGACGCCGCGUGAGUGAUGGCGCGUCUCGGCGCGUAAAGCCCUAUCUGCAGGGAAGUAGAUGACGGUACCUGGCCAAGAUGCCCCGUCUAACUACGUGCCAGCAGCCGGGGUAACACGGAGGGGGCCAGCGUUAUCCGGAUUUACUGGGUGUAAUGGGGGCGCAGACGGCAAUGCAGGCCAGGAGUGAAAGCCUGGGGACAAACCCCGGGAGUGCUGUUGAAACUGCAGGGCUGGAGUACAGGAGGGGCAGGCGGAAUGCGUAGUGUAGCGGUGAAAUGCGUAGAUAUUAGGAGGAACACCGAUGGCGAAGGCGGCCUGCUGGACUGUGACUGACGUUGAGGCCCGAAGGCGUGGGGAGCAAACAGGAUUAGAUACCCGAGUAGUC